AUUGAUUGACCAAGAUAACCAAUCCCAGACCAAGCCAUCAGUCCUUUGCCUAAAUCUAACCAACCACGGCACCACGCAAUAUAAACCAAUCAGAAGCAACGUAAGGCGGGUCUUGGGGGUCUCUAACUCUCUUUCAGACACAACAGCGCCGACAUUUAAAACCCACAUUACAUUCUCCUGCUUGCAAGAAUACGGAUGGCAGGAAGAAGAGCAGCAGGUUGAGGUCUCAGUCAGACCUGCCUAUGUGGACACACCAGUGGAAGGGGACUCAGUUGAAGAUCACAUUCUUCAUGAUUGCAGACAUGUAGCAGAGUGGGUUGAGGCCAACAAACAACUGUUGUCUGCCAAAGUGGACCUGCCUGAUAUGGAUAUGAUAUGGAUAUGAUAUGGACUCUGCAAUAUGGGCGUAACAGAGGCGGCCUGAGAGUGGAGCCUGCGGUGGUAGCGACCUCACAGUGGAGGUCUGCAGCCAGGACCUCUUGGAACAGGUUGUUGUGGAAUUUCCAUCCUGACAUGACAUGAGGUUCUUUUCGAAAGGACAAUAAAGCAAAUGAAAGCCCAAGUGGAGGUCCUCUAGAAGGAGGCAGCCAUGGACUGCCUGUGAAAGGACGGUCUGAGGAGUCGGUGGUGGAUGAUGUGAACCUACAGGUCAUCACCGGGAUGAACAAGCAAGGAGCAGAGAUUAAUGUAUGUUGCAAGAUUGUAUUUUAUUUGUUUUGUUGGACUUGUUUAAUAAAGGAUUUUUAACUUUUUUUU